GACGAACGCUGGCGGCGUGCUUAACACAUGCAAGUCGAACGGAAAGGCCCUGCUUUUGUGGGGUGCUCGAGUGGCGAACGGGUGAGUAACACGUGAGUAACCUGCCCUUGACUUUGGGAUAACUUCAGGAAACUGGGGCUAAUACCGGAUAGGAGCUCCUGCUGCAUGGUGGGGGUUGGAAAGUUUCGGCGGUUGGGGAUGGACUCGCGGCUUAUCAGCUUGUUGGUGGGGUAGUGGCUUACCAAGGCUUUGACGGGUAGCCGGCCUGAGAGGGUGACCGGCCACAUUGGGACUGAGAUACGGCCCAGACUCCGACGGGAGGCAGCAGUGGGGAAUAUUGCACAAUGGGCGGAAGCCUGAUGCAGCAACGCCGCGUGCUGGAUGACGGCCUUCGGGUUGUAGACCGCUUUCGCCUGUGACGAAGCGUGAGUGACGGUAAUGGGUAGAGAAGCACCGGCUAACUACGUG
rnacentral:rRNA from 1 species